rnacentral:rRNA from 1 species
AAACAUAACCUUUAGCAAAACAAAUAUUAAAGGCAACGCCUGCCCAGUGAACAAUUAAACGGCCGCGGUACCCUAACCGUGCAAAGGUAGCAUAAUCAUUUGUCUACUAAUUAUAGACCUGUAUGAAAGGCAAAAUGAGGGCCUAACUGUCUCUUAUAGUAAGUCAAUUAAACUGAUCUCCUAGUAAAAAAGCUAAGAUUUUAACACAAGACCAGAAGACCCUGUGAAGCUUUAACUAAACUAUUAAACCACAUAAUAACUAAUUUCGGUUGGGGCGACCUUGGAAAAAAAAGAAACUUCCAACACAGUGAUAUACCCACACUAUACAGGCCCACAAGCCACAAAUUGACCCAGCAACGCUGAUAAACGAACUAAGUUACUCCAGGGAUAACAGCGCAAUCUUCUUUAAGAGCCCAUAUCAAAAAGAAGGCUUACGACCUCGAUGUUGGAUCAGGACAUCCUAAUGGUGCAGCCGCUAUUAAGGGUUCGUUUGUUCAACGAUUAACAGUCCUACGUGAUC